AGUGUGGACGAGCUGACCAAAGCACACCCACCCACUACAAUGAGAGCUCACCUAACGAAAACUCUCGCUUAUCUUUGCAGGUUGUGGAAGAAUUAUCGCAAUAACAUCACCACCCCUGUUCGCUCAGUUCUUCUUGUUAAGAGUUUCCUUGAUGGAGAAUAACCCUCGACCGAAUUAUCCGGGUUUCCCCUACUUCCCUCCUCCAUCGGGAUGGAUCGAUCCGAAUUCAGCGCCGUCCGACGACGACGACGACAACUGCAACACUCCGACGUGGGUCAUCGUCAGCAUAGUGAUUGUCCUCCUCAUAUUCUUGGGUUUCCUUGUCUACUUCAUCCUGCGGCGAGAGAAGAAAAUCUGGAGAAAAGCGGCCGCGCCACCUGCCCCGGCCGCAAAGCCACCGGCAAAGCCAGCUUGAUCUGGCUCCACCUGCUAAGCCGCCGCCAGUGGGCAUCCCGAUUUCGUUCCCCGGCGAUUGUCCGGCGUGCCGGCAUAGAGGAGGAAUUUAUUCUCUCUCACAUACCUGCCCUCUGGGCAAGUAUGAAGAUGGAAUACACUCUAGUGUAUCCAGACAAUAAAUCAGACAAAAAGGACAACAUGUAAUUAGUUCGGAAGCUUCUACGCAUGCUUAUGUGUUGAAACUUGAAUGGUGCACGGUGACAGAUCGUCUCCUCUACUGUACAACAUUAGAAAUUCGAUGCAAUAAAUGACUUUUGUCUCCUCCAUGGAUAGCAUAGAGGCGUUAUG